rnacentral:lncRNA from 1 species
CACGUGAGCACCGCGUCACGGGAGCUAGGCCACCACCACCCCCUUCCCGCCCACCUCACCAUCCAUCCCCGAGGGACCAGGAGGUUGCGGAAGGUGGGAGAGGGUGUGUGUAACAAAGGAGUGGGGGUCAUCAAGAAGAAGAGGAGGAGGGGGUGGCUUUCUGAUCUCAGGUGCUUUACCUGACGCAGCUCACAGCAUCCUCGCAAGGCAUCUCUCUCUGAUGCCCAUUAUCGCCAGGUGUGACAGCUGAUCAGAGAGGUAAACACCGAUGACUCCCAGAUCUACAGCUCCAGGCUGUUCCCUUCUCCGUGUCUCAUAUCAGCUUUGCCAACUGUUUAUUGGACAUCACCGCCUGAGUAUCCCUGAGGGACACGAUUAUCCUGUUUGGAGUGUAUUGAACUUCUUGGAUACAUCGAUUAGUGUCUUUCCUCAAGUUUGAGUAAUUUGCAGUCAUUUUUCCUUUGAAAAUUCUUUCUUCUCUAUUCUGUUUCUCUCCUUGUUGAACCCCCAUCAUGCAUAGGUGUGCUCUGUUCAUUUUUCACAUUACUUUUAUUUUUCUGCUCCUCGGACUGAAUAAUCUCAAUUGACCUAUUUUAAGUUCACUGAUUCUUUUGCCUGCCCAAACCUACUGUUGUACCCCUCUAGUGACUUUUAGUUAUUGUACUUUUCAAAUAAAGAAUUUCUAUUUAUUUUAUAAUUUCUACAUCUCUUUGUAUUUUUACAU